rnacentral:ribozyme from 11 species
UUUUCUAAAUGUCCGUCUGAUCGUCUAUCUGCUGCGAUUAAACCACAAGGAAUCAGUCAGGAGAUGAAAUCUUAUUUUCCUUUUUAUUAAUCAUCAGAUUAAUAAAAGAAAAGGAAAAAUAAGAU